rnacentral:rRNA from 1 species
UAAUACGUAGGGUGCAAGCGUUAAUCGGAAUUACUGGGCGUAAAGGGUGCGCAGGCGGUUCAUUAAGUCUGACGUGAAAGUCCUGGGCUCAACCUGGGGAUGGCGUUGGAGACUGAUGAGCUAGAGUGUGUCAGAGGGGGGUAGAAUUCCACGUGUAGCAGUGAAAUGCGUAGAGAUGUGGAGGAACACCGAUGGCGAAGGCAGCCCCCUGGGAUAACACUGACGCUCAGGCACGAAAGCGUGGGGAGCAAACAGG